rnacentral:rRNA from 1 species
GAUGAACGCUGGCGGCGUGCCUAAUACAUGCAAGUCGAGCGAACGGACGAGAAGCUUGCUUCUCUGAUGUUAGCGGCGGACGGGUGAGUAACACGUGGAUAACCUACCUAUAAGACUGGGAUAACUUCGGGAAACCGGAGCUAUUACCGGAUAAUAUUUUGAACCGCAUGGUUCAAAAGUGAAAGACGGUCUUGCUGUCACUUAUAGAUGGAUCCGCGCUGCAUUAGCUAGUUGGUAAGGUAACGGCUUACCAAGGCAACGAUGCAUAGCCGACCUGAGAGGGUGAUCGGCCACACUGGAACUGAGACACGGUCCAGACUCCUACGGGAGGCAGCAGUAGGGAAUCUUCCGCAAUGGGCGAAAGCCUGACGGAGCAACGCCGCGUGAGUGAUGAAGGUCUUCGGAUCGUAAAACUCUGUUAUUAGGGAAGAACAUAUGUGUAAGUAACUGUGCACAUCUUGACGGUACCUAAUCAGAAAGCCACGGCUAACUACGUG